rnacentral:rRNA from 1 species
UACGUAGGGGGCAAGCGUUGUCCGGAUUUAUUGGGCGUAAAGAGCUCGUAGGCGGUUUGUCGCGUCUGCCGUGAAAGUCCGGGGCUCAACUCCGGAUCUGCGGUGGGUACGGGCAGACUAGAGUGAUGUAGGGGAGACUGGAAUUCCUGGUGUAGCGGUGAAAUGCGCAGAUAUCAGGAGGAACACCGAUGGCGAAGGCAGGUCUCUGGGCCACUACUGACGCUGAGAAGCGAAAGCAUGGGGAGCGAACAGG